GCCUGGGUGGCGGAAUUGGUAGACGCGUUGGUCUCAAACACCAAUGGGAGCAAUCCCGUAUCGGUUCGACUCCGAUCCCAGGUA
rnacentral:tRNA from 1 species